rnacentral:lncRNA from 1 species
AGUCUAUUAGGUCUGUUCUCUCCCCUCCUGCUCUGACUAUGUGGGGGAAGCCUACCUGCUUUCACCAGGGCUCUGUCUUGAAGUUGCCACAAAGCCACCUUGAGAUCUGUCUUAGUAACAUCAGCAAGAGGCCCAGAUAUGCUGAAGCUUCCGUGGCUGUGCAGGAUCCACUUGGCAUAACUUCUACCCUUGACUGUAGGACCAUCUGUGACUCAAAUCAACAUGAAUGGGAACCACCAGCCAGCUGAGCGAUGGCUUUCCUGCGAUUUUCCUGAAGAGGUCAUGCCUUUCAUCUGUCCAGGACAAUGAUGAGAACAUACAACACACAUAACACAAGUACUCAAGCUUGAGAGAUGUGUAUUGCACUGGACCUAUGCCACUUAGCAACUCUGUGGUAAGUGUAAUAUGGUGAUUUGAAUAAGUUUGACCCCCAUAGGCUCAUAUAGUUGAAUACUUAGUCACCAGGGAGUCGAAUUCUUUGAAAGGAUUAGAAGGAUUAGGAUAUGUGGCCUUGCUGGAGCAAAUGUACCAUGGGGGAUGGGGUUUAAAGUUUCUAAAGCACAUACCAGACUCAGGCUC